GCCGGGUGUGGUGGUGCACGCCUGUAGUCCCAGCUACUUGGGAGGCUGAGGCACAAGAAUCGCUUGAACCCGGGAGGCAGAGGCUGCAGUGAGUUGAGAUGAUGCCACUGCACUCCAGCCUGGGUGACAAAGUGAAACUGUAUCUCAG
rnacentral:SRP_RNA from 1 species